rnacentral:rRNA from 1 species
CCUACGGGUGGCAGCAGUGGGGAAUAUUGCACAAUGGAGGGAACUCUGAUGCAGCGACGCCGCGUGAGUGAAGAAGUAAUUCGUUAUGUAAAGCUCUAUCAGCAGGGAAGAAAGUGACGGUACCUGACCAAGAAGCCCCGGCUAACUACGUGCCAGCAGCCGCGGUAAUACGUAGGGGGCAAGCGUUAUCCGGAUUUACUGGGUGUAAAGGGGGCGCAGACGGCAAUGCAAGCCAGGAGUGAAAGCCCGGGGACCAACCCCGGGACUGCUCUUGGAACUGCAUGGAUGGAGUACAGGAGGGGCAGGCGGAAUUCCUAGUGUAGCGGUGAAAUGCGUAGAUAUUAGGAGGAACACCGGUGGCGAAGGCGGCCUGCUGGACUGUGACUGACGUUGAGGCCCGAAGGCGUGGGGAGCAAACAGGAUUAGAUACCCCAGUAGUC